UACAGAGGGGGCAAGCGUUGUUCGGAAUUACUGGGCGUAAAGGGCGCGUAGGCGGCCUUUCUAAGUCGAACGUGAAAUCCCCGGGCUCAACCCGGGAACUGCGUCCGAUACUGGAAGGCUUGAAUCCGGGAGAGGGAUGUGGAAUUCCAGGUGUAGCGGUGAAAUGCGUAGAUAUCUGGAGGAACACCGGUGGCGAAGGCGACAUCCUGGACCGGCAUUGACGCUGAGGCGCGAAAGCCAGGGGAGCAAACGGG
rnacentral:rRNA from 1 species